rnacentral:rRNA from 1 species
AUACGUAGGGGGCAAGCGUUAUCCGGAUUUACUGGGUGUAAAGGGAGCGCAGACGGCAGUGCAAGUCUGAUGUGAAAGCCCGGGGCUCAACCCCGGAACUGCAUUGGAAACUGUACAGCUUGAGUGUCGGAGAGGUAAGCGGAAUUCCUAGUGUAGCGGUGAAAUGCGUAGAUAUUAGGAGGAACACCGGUGGCGAAGGCGGCUUACUGGACGAUUACUGACGUUGAGGCUCGAAAGCGUGGGGAGCAAACAGGAUUAGAUACCCUGGUAGUCCACGCUGUAAACGAUGAAUACUAGGUGUAGGUGUGCACUGCACAUCUGUGCCGCAGCUAACGCAAUAAGUAUUCCACCUGGGGAGUACGUUCGCAAGAAUGAAACUCAAAGGAAUUGACGGGG